rnacentral:sRNA from 15 species
AUUGAUCCGAAGGCAGAAUUGAUGUAUCCAGAUUUAUUGAAUAAUUUGAAA